AGUUCCCUGUCCAUGUUUGCCAUAGCUUUGAACAAAGUUUCAUACCAAUUCAAACCGGAGAUUGUAAAUUGUAAGUUUUUUCCAGAUUCUAGUAUGUAUUUAUAAAGAUUCUGAGAUUUGUGUUGUGGGAAAAUGCUCUCUUCAUCUUUCCCUUGGGAGGCAUCUGUAGGCAAGAAGGAGAAUUUUAAGUUUUUUGUGUGUGUGCGCCUACACAGCUGUAGGAGACUGGAGCUUUAGAGUUCUUCAAAAUAAGGUGGAUGUGAAGGUAAAAAGAUCAGUGGUUGCCAUAAUUUGGGGGAAAGAGGGAUGAAUGGGUGGAACAAAUAGGAUUUUUAGGGCAGUGAAACUACUCUGUAUGAUACUACAAUGGUGGAUGCAUGUUAUUAUACAUUUGUCCAAGCCCAUAGAAUAUGCAACACCCAGAGUGAACCCUGAUGUAAAGUACAGACUCUCAGUGAUAAUGAUGGGUCAAUGUAGGUUCAUCAAUUGCAUUGCACCACUCUGCUGGGGAUGUUGAUAAUGGUUGGGAAGCUGUGCAUGUGUCGGGGCUGGGGUAUAUGAGAACUCUCUGUACUUUCUGCUCAGUUUUGCUGUGAAUCUAAUACUGUUUUAAAAAAUAAAGUUUAAAAAUAUAAAAUAAAUAAAAGAGGAUCCCUGAGGAGGUACAAUGCAGUGGUCUAGUAGGGAUCAGGAAAUUUUGGAGAUCUAGAAAGUACCCAGAAGCAAGGGGUAGGGAAGCUAGCUAAAAAAGCAAACCACUUUUACAUUAAAAUCUCUUGGGUGUAGUUAUGGAGUGAAGCCAGCUUUAGUGUUUGGGGAGGAAGCCUGGUGACAGGUCUACAGAGAAAUCAAGCAUCCUGGUGUGGGUCUGUUCAUAGAUAUGAGCAGGCAGUCAGCAAGGUUUGAGGUCUGAGGAAAGCAUAUAUAAAUUUGUUUUAAAAGGGUAGGUCCUGCUGCUAAAUGCUUUCCUAUGGCAUGCUGCACUUGCUUCUUGACAGCUUUCAUCAAUGUUUAUGUUUACUUAUUUAAUGUUUUUCCCAUGACUUCUGAGCUCCAACAAGAAGGGCCCUUUCUGUCUUUGUUAGCAUUCUAUCCCUAGCUCAUAACACAGUUUUCUGGAAUAAAGGAGAUGCUCAAUAAGCAUUUGUUAAAUGAAAUAAGUAGCAACAUUACCAUUAAUAAUGGAAUAGUGGUUUCAGCGUCCCAAGUGUUGUCUGUGUGCCAGGCCUGACUAAAUGUAGUAAGACACGUGCACAGAACCUAUUUCCCUUCUCACACCUCCCCUGGGAAGGAGGUACUGUCUUCACCAUUUUAUCACUUUACAGAUUCAGCUUGGAGCCUGCUGCUUGCUGGGACUGAGACAGGCCAGGCUCAUGUCCGCGGAGCUCUCCUUCUAAGGGAGGACACAAAUGAGGCUGUGAGAGAGGCCUGGUUUGGGCGGAGCAUUCGCUCCUUUAAAAGGAAUGGUCCCAGAGGCCCACAGACGUUUGUCGUGGGAUCUGAAUGACCAGAAGGAGCAGCCUUUCCAGGGUCUGAGCUGAACAUGGCCAAACAAGGACGGAAGAAAUUCCUACAGCUGUGUGCAAGAGAGACAUAAGAAGUGGAGGAGAAUGGACUGUCAGGACAGUGAUGAUAGACUUGAGGUUUAACAGAAUAAGAGAAAUUCCUGAGAGCGCCUUCAAGGAACUCAAGAAUUUGAACACUCUCUCAGGAGACUGAAGCCCAGAGGAGUUGGCCAACUUGGUGAAGGUUGCAGAAAAACUAAGUGGUAGAGCCUGUACUUGAAGCGGGUG
ensembl:lncRNA